rnacentral:snRNA from 1 species
AUGCUUACCUGGAAGGGGAGAUACCAUGGUCAAGAAGGUGGUUCACCCAGGGCACACGCCGCUUGUGCUGACCCCUGCGAAUUCCCCAAACGUGGGAAUGUCGACUGCAUAAUUUGGC